CGCUUGUCCCAUAAGUACAGCAUACCAAUAAACAUUAACUUUAACGUUAGUUUGAGAAUUAUAUUGAAAGAGUGAGCACUGAAAUCAGAUAAACUGCAGGUUGAUUGCAUGGGAAGAAAUGGGUACAGAUGCUGAAAAUUGGCUCCAGAGGACUUAUCCUGAGCUGUUUCAAGACUGGAGAGAAGCAUAUUUGAAACCUGUGAGGCAGGAGAAAGUAUCUAAUCCUGAGUGUAGAAUCUGCCAGCUUCGUCCAAAUACAGGUUUACACUACGGAAUCUACACCUGUGAAGCGGAUAAACAGUUUCUAAAACGAACCUUUCAUGAUAAGUUUGUUUACAAGAUUUGUACACUAGGCUGCCCACCUAGGCUCAGAGGUUGGUGCCAGUACUGUAGACUAAAAUCCUCCCUGAUGGUUGGGAUUAAUCUCAAGAUGAUCAGGAUCGGAGACAAACAGAAGAAAGUUGAGAAAUCACCCCGAACCAAGUCAAGUAAGAAGAAUGAGGACGCGUUUUCUCUGGUUAAAAUGGAACCUUGCAUAAAGGAGGAGAAACCGGAUGAAUCCUGGAUCUCUUACAGUACACUGGAACAGACCGGAAAUGAGAAAAUGUACGAAAACUAUCCUCUACAACAAGGAUUCGGAACAUAUUCAUCUUGUGAAGAGCAGGAUCGUGGGUUUAGAUCGUAUACUAUUUCUCAACAGUAUGUUGAUCACUGUCAUCCUUUCUACCAUCCUACUCCGUCCAUGAUGAGUCAAUCAAACGAGGGGUUUAGAACUCAUUUACCAGUUCAUCAGGACAGAUUUGGAUCGUUUUCUCCGGAGAAUGCAUCCUACCAGGAAUUGAACAGUUACUCUAAUUCCGAGUUUAAUUAUCCGCAAAAGUACCCGGUUCAACCUACGCCAGUUUAUCAAACAGAAUAUAUUCAGAAUUUCUGGGAGCAGCAACUUUAUCCGUCAUUAACAGAGAAGUGGAUUCACGGACAUAAGAGUGUAUCUCCUAUCCUGUCCAAACCCAACGAUAGCGGGAUGUUUAACCUGACUCAGAGUGCUCCUCUAGAUCUGUCAUCAUCCUCAUCCUCGUCUUCCCGUCCUCCGUCCCGUCCCAACUCCACGGAUAGUUUAUCAGGGAGAUCAUCUCCAAGAAGCCGGAGAGUAUCUGGAAUAUCUGAUGUUGGAACUUCGUUCAAUAAACUCUCAGUAAACUCGACUGUUCUCCAGGAUGCUCUAAGGUUGGUACAAGGCAGCCUGUCCCCUGGUAAUCUGAAGAAUAUCUCCCACGUUUCAGAUGUACUCUCAGAGUAGUACUGUACAGCGUUUACUGUACAAUUAUACAAUUGUACAUAAGUAGUUUGUUUAACAGUGCCAGGCCCUAGUUCUGGUUUGGUUUGGUGUUCGAAGUUCUGUCAACCUGGGUAACAUUAAAUAACAUCAACAAUUACUGUAAUGUUGUGUAAAACCUAACUUUUAUCAACUUUUAAAUCUACAAUUACAGAUCAUCAGACACCAUUUAUAUCGCCUUAUUAAGUCAAAACUUUGGUCAAAUCAAAUAUUUGUUUUAAAUAAGUUCAUUUAUUAUACAUGCAACAUCUUUAUUCUCGCAGAAUGUAAAAUAUUUCUCCCUUGUCAAUAUUCUACAGAAUAUAAAAUAUAUAAUAAACAA
rnacentral:misc_RNA from 1 species